UACAGAGGUCCCAAGCGUUGUUCGGAUUCACUGGGCGUAAAGGGUGCGUAGGUGGUGAGGUAAGUCGGAUGUGAAAUCUCCGAGCUCAACUCGGAAAUGGCAUUGGAAACUACCUUGCUAGAGGGUUGGAGGGGGGACUGGAAUACUUGGUGUAGCAGUGAAAUGCGUAGAUAUCAAGUGGGACACCAGUGGCGAAGGCGAGUCCCUGGACAACUCCUGACACUGAGGCACGAAAGCUAGGGGAGCAAACAGG
rnacentral:rRNA from 1 species